rnacentral:piRNA from 1 species
UAAAGUCCAAGUCCAACCGAUAAC